rnacentral:rRNA from 1 species
UACUCCUACGGGAGGCAGCAGUGGGGAAUUUGCGCAAUGGGGGGAAGCGUGAUGCAGCCAUGCCGGGUGUGGAAGAAGGCGUUGGGGUUUAAACACAUCAGUAGGGAGGAAGGGUUAAUUUAAUAGCGUCACUUAGACGUAAUCAGAUCACUGGC